ensembl:lncRNA
AUUUUGAAAAUUCCAGUUCAUGAAAAUAGCAGUCUGUUUUCUAAGCCAGCAUGAAGAAUGUGAGUGUAUCAUAUCCUAUAAGGUUGGGUAAAUAUCAAGAAAUAUGAUUAUCAUUAUUUUUACUAUGGUCUUCAUGAGUAGCAUUAUUUAGAUGUAUAUUUGAGAUUCAUGUGCCAUUGGAUAAUUUCUGUUUGAUUUAUGGCAGCAUGUUUUCUAUAAUUUGCCACCCACAAAAGCAAUGACUUCCUAAAUAACCUGCACGAUGCAAGGAACCAAAUGUAGUGCCUGGAAAAGUGAAGCUUAUGAGGGAGUAUACUUGCACGUAGGAGAUUCUGCUUAAAGAAAUAGCUGAUCCUCACACUGUCUUCCACAAUGGUUGAACUAAUUUACACUCCCACCAACAGUGUAAAAGUGUUCCUUUUUCUCCACAUCCUCUCCAGCAUCUGUUGUCUCCAGAUUUUUUAAUGAUCGCCAUUCUAACUGGCGUGAGAUGGUAUCUCAAUGUGGUUUUGAUUUGCAUCUCUCUGAUGACCAGUGACGAUGAGCAUUUUUUCAUAUGAUUGUUGGCCUCAUAUAUGUGGAAUAUUAUGCAGCAAUCAGAAAUGAUGAGUUCGUGUCGUUUGUAGUGACAUGGAUGAAUCUGGAAAACAUCAUCCUCAGCAAACUGACACAAGAACAGAAAAUGAAACACCGCAUAUUCUCACUCAUAGAACCUAGGAAUAGUGAUAUUUGCCUUGACGAUCUUAAGAAAUUAUUUGAGGGGAGGACUCAAGAUGGUGCUGUGAGAACAACCCAGGAUUGGAGCUCUUCUCGUUGAAUCUGCAAACGGUGAGUCAAAGCGGCAUUUCCAGACUGAUCUUUGUUGCCCACAGAACGGGGAAACUCCCAAGUAUCAAAAAGACACGGGACGCCAGGCAGUAGGUCUGCCUGGCGAAGCCGGCAGCCGGGGCGGCGGCGGCCGGCCCUACCCAGCAAUCCCCACAGGGCGCGCUUGUCCGGGUGCCCUGUUGAACCGGCAACCUGAGACUUGAGAGGGCUGGACUUGAGACUGAACGAGACUUGGACAAUAGGCCAGCCCAGGGGAUUGCAGGGACAGAUCGUUUGGGAUACCCAGUGGGACGAACAAAACCGCGAUUUCAAACUAUCCCGAGCAGACGGUCCGAGAUGCUCUGUGAAGGAGGGGCGUCCACCACUACCGAGGCAACCCGCCCCAACUGAGAUACACGCCCACUGCUGACGCAGCCAGCCGUUGCCGAGGCAACCCGCCACAACUGAGAUACACGCCCACUGCUGACGCAGCCAGCCGUUGCCGAGGCAACCCGUCCCUACUGAGAUACACGCCCACUGCUGACGCAGCCUGCCGUUGCUGAGGCAACACGCUACAACGAAGAGACUCCGCCGCAGGGCGUGGCGGAGACCACAGCAGAGCCGGCAGGAACAGCGCGAAUCACACAACAGCAGGGCGGAGCCUCAGCAGCCAAACAGUGGCUAGUCUGCCUUCUAGCUGGGCAGGACACCUGAUCGGACAUCCAAAAAUAAAGCCCAAACCCCUCAACACAGAGCAUUUGAGAAAAAAAAAAAAAAAAAAAAGGGUUUUUUAAUGAGCUGUGUUGCAGCAGAAUCAAACAUAGCAGCCUAACAGCCCUGAAUGAACAACAGAGUGCACAGCUCAGCAAUUAAACCCCUAUAAAGUACAAACUGUCUCCUCAAGCAGCUCCCUGACCCCUCUAUAUCCAAAAGACUGACAUUAGGCAGGCAUCAUCCUGGGACAAAGAGAGCAGAAAAAGAAACUGGUAGCAUCCCUCGCUGUGCCACGGCUACUAGAGGUGCACCCCAGACAAGCAGGGUCUGGAGCGGACCUCAACAGUCAUACAGCGAAGGGGCUAGACUGGUAGAAGGAAAACCAAGCAACAGAAAUACUUCAUCAUCAACAUUCUGGGUGUCCACUCAGAGACCCAAACGAAAAAUCAGCAACUACGCAGACGAC